rnacentral:rRNA from 1 species
CACGUAGGGGGCAAGCGUUGUCCGGAUUUAUUGGGCGUAAAGAGCUCGUAGGCGGUUUCGUAAGUCGGAUGUGAAAACUCCAGCUCAACUUGGAGACGCCAUUCGAUACUGCGAUGACUUGAGUCCGGUAGGGGAGUGUGGAAUUCCUGGUGUAGCGGUGAAAUGCGCAGAUAUCAGGAGAACACCGGCGGCGAAGGCGGCACUCUGGGCCGGUACUGACGCUGAGGAGCGAAAGGCGUGGGGAGCAAACAGG